CUCCUUACUGGCUCCUGACAGACGUAGAUGGUCAAACGGGGCCUCACAGACCUGGAUUUCAGUGCAUUAUAGAGCCGAAUUCCAUCGGCUGGACCACAGAUUUGUACCAGAUCUUCUCUUGUCAACUUUAAUAAAUCAGCACCUGAGAAAUUUGAAAAAAGCCUUGUAUAGGUAGAGAACCUAUGCUUGAGCAACCACUGCUGCGUUUCCUG
rnacentral:lncRNA from 1 species